CAGCAGAGCAGAAAAUGGGCAAAAUAUUCCCUCAACGCCCAUGAAUCUGUCAUUAAAGGAGUUGUGCGUCUCCUAGGGAAAGGAUUACAUGUUCCCCAACAUUGCAGAUCGUAUCCCUUUGCCGAGAAUUUCGGCUGCCACAAGAGAAGACUUUGUGAGAUGAUGUUCAAAAGGUACCAUGCUCUGCCGUGGCAUCGCUUCUGAUGGACUUCAACCAACGUGAGUUGGACAACAGCUAUCCAGUUCUGAAUCAAAGUGAAAAAGAUGUCCUUUAAAGCAGAUCACAAAACAUUUUAUUUAUAUUGGUCCUCGCAUCCCUGGUGACCAAAG